rnacentral:rRNA from 1 species
ACUCCUACGGGAGGCAGCAGUGGGGAAUAUUGCACAAUGGGGAAACCCUGAUGCAGCCAUGCCGCGUGUGUGAAGAAGGCCUUCGGUUGUAAAGCACUUCAGUAGGGAGGAAGGUAGUGUAGUUAACACCUGCACUAUUUGACGUUACCUACAGAAGAAGCACCGGCUAACUCCGUGCCAGCAGCCGCGGUAAUACGGAGGGGUGCGAGCGUUAAUCGGAAUUACUGGGCGUAAAGCGCAUGCAGGCGGCCUGUUAAGUCAGAUGUGAAAGCCCGGGGGCUUAACCUCGGAAUUGCAUUUGAAACUGGCAGGCUAGAGUCUUGUAGAGGGGGUAGAAUUUCAGGUGUAGCGGUGAAAUGCGUAGAGAUCUGAAGGAAUACCAGUGGCGAAGGCGGCCCCCUGGACAAAGACUGACGCUCAGAUGCGAAAGCGUGGGGAGCAAACAGGAUUAGAUACCCUGGU